AAAAAUCUUAAAUUUUUCAUAAAAAAUAUUAUGUUCCUUUGAAAUGUGUGCUUAUAUUUUAUAUACAAUUAUGUGAAAAUGCAAUUUAAAGGUUACACAGCCACUGUGUUUAAGGUCUUCGUUUGGAAAUGAAUACCCCGUCUGAGUUUGAAUUGUUUUAUGCCAAAGGAGGGGCUCAUUUGAAGUGUAAAUAAUUAAAACCUUAUUUAUAGGAGAGUAGUUGGUUCUAAGAGGUCUAGUUUAGGUGCAAUAUUGGCUUGUUUUUAUUUUCAUUGAGAAAAAAAUCAAUAAAAGGUUAUAUUUAAUAAAAAAGGAAUAAAAAGAUCCAAUAUUUAUCUUGUGUUCAUUUUUUCCCCUUUUUGUGUAAUAUAAAUAAUUAUUUCUUAGAAUAACAAAAUCCACCACGAUAAAUUUAUGGUUAGAAAAACUUAAAAUAAAAUGAAUUAUACCUAAUAAAACCAAAUAUACUCCUUUGGCGUAAAAACAAUUGAAAACCCAAGGUUUUAUUAAUUUGAAACAAAGCCUUAUAAUAUAGUGAUAAGUAGUGAUGUCCAUAUAAUGCCCAAAAAUUUAGCUAAAUAAAAAACUCAAAAAUGCAAAUAAAAUGCAGAAAAAGUUAAAAAAUGUAAAUAAAUCUGGUAAAAAAAAAAUAUAUAAUUAAAAUUUCUAAAUCAAGCAGGUCUUUGUUCCAUUGAAUUAUCAUCCGGUCCUCCGUCAGUCUAUUCUUCUUACUAGUGAGGAUAUUUUAUAAAACACUAGAAGCUCUCUCAUAGUCCAUGGAUGUGAUGGGGAUGCAGUUGAAGCCUUCUAUGGUGUUUGAAUCCUCAUUUAUGCCAGUAACAUGCUCGCUUGGGUGCUCUGAGCCAAUAAGACUUAUCAUCUCAUGUGAUGGUUUUUUGUUUUUCAAUAUCUCCUCUAGCUUAUGAGCAAACUUGGGGAUGGUCAGGCUCUCACUGACAUUCUCAAAGAUGGACUAGGUCUGUAUAUGAUGUAACCUUUCUUCCAGCUGAUUGCUGCUCACUUUAAGUCCUUCGAAAAUCGCUUUGAGUAAAGGAAAGGUCUUGGGCAAGAGAAGCAUCGUCCAUCAGUUUUCUUAGGCUCAUCGAUGGCUCUGCUGUUGUCGUCAGCCAUUCGCUAGACAAACUCUUUGAUGACACGUUAAAUUUGUAAUCGUAGAAGGCUGCUUCGAGCCAUGUUCCCCACCUUGUAACAACUGUCUUUGGAGGGGCAGGAACAUUGCAAGAGGCAUCAAACUCCUACUUGCUGUGGGCACACUUACUGAAAAUCUUUUAACUUCGGGAAUGAGUUUACCCACAUUUGGAAAAAUGUAACUUACUAAUUCGGCAACACGGUUGAGGCCGAGGGUGAACGAAGGAAAUGUAUGCAGAUUAAGUACGAUAUGUAAUUCAUCCUCAUAACUUUUUCCGCCUUGACACAGUAAGGAGUUCCGUCUAUGUGCAGUAGCAGUAGCACCUUAUUGUAGUUUAUAUUGGUUCCAAGGAGCUCAAACAGAAGAGUUGAUGCACUGCUGCACAGUGCGGUUGUAAGUGGUGUCUAGAUUAACCACGUUGAACAAGUAUGGCCUCUCUAGGUUUGCAGCGUCGUAAGGUCCUGCCAGCACUACACACAAUACCUUACCCAGACUAUCAGUGGUUUCAUGAAUGGGGAUACACAAUAACUUAUCCUUAAGUUUUUUCUUUAUUUUGCCCAUUACCUCCUUCCUUGUUUUCUCCAUUGUCCUUGCCAUGGUGUUGCUGCUAGGCAUCGUGUUCUUAGAAUACUUCUCCAAGAAGUCUUUGAACUCCCUGUUGUUGAUCUUGGGUAGGGUGAUAUUAGCAGAGACCAAGGCCUUCUCUAGGUCAGUAUUGAUGACGCCACUUCUAUUUAGCUUUUGUAUCCCUUGUUUAAAUCUACAUUAUUUUUGUGUCUGGUAUACUGUACAUGCUGUUCUAGGACACCCUUCCUGUUGGCUUUAGCGCUUAAGUUGCAGAGCUUGUAUAGCUUUAUUUGAGGCGCAUAAGUCCAAAUCUUGGUCCCACUCAAGGUUAAUAGAAAUACAAGGUUAGGCCAUCAUGUAAUCGGGCUUGCUAGAAUUUUCAAUUGGAUGCGUAGUACCAACUGUUGGCCGAGAAAUGCAGAUUUGGAGAAAAACUACAAGCAAUCAUAGUCUAUACCGUCACUAUUUCUAGAAUUUUCAAUUUGGUACAUAAUACUGACUGCGGGGCAAGAAAGACAGAUUUUGAAAAAAAACACCGUUCAUACACUAUAACUUCAAUAUUAUAAUGCGUAUUGGAAGUCAAGCAUCAGUCGGGGUAUAACCUUGUAUUUCUAUUAACCUUUGGUGCCACUAAGUUCCUUAAUGACCACUGAGGGGUCCAUUAUCUUAGGCAUGUUCAAUUUAAGAAGAUUGUCCUUCUCUUCGAAUGAAUGUAAAUAUAUUGAAAAUAAGUCUGCUACCCGUUUAUAUUUCUAGAGAAAAAACGGAUUGUAAAAAAUUGAUAUAAUAUAUUUUUAAAUAUCCGAGUACUUCUCCUUUUUUAAUUCGUGGUACCCAUGUAUUGAUCCUUUACUCUUUUUCUCUUCCUCCUCUAAUACUUGCACUCAAUCCUCCCUUUACUCUUUUUCUCUUCCUCCUCUAAUACUUGCACUCAAUCCUCCCUUUACUCUAAUAACUGAAUAUUUUUUGAAGUAAAAAUGGGAAGAAAAAUACAAAUAAAGGUUGACAAUAUAAUUAAGAGCCCAAAAUGCAAAUAAAUCUUAUUUGCAUAAUUUUGACAUCAUUUAUGGUUAUUAAAUAUAAAAUUGACGUUUCGUAGUAUUGGACGACAGCAUUUCAAAUAUAAGCACAUAUUUAAAAAAAAAUUUACUAUGAAUAGACCAUUUGGAUUAUUUAUUUCUUACUCAAAUCUAAAAAAAGGUAAUAAUCAAAAAUUCAAAUCCAAAAUCAGUUUGAUACGAAAAAAACUUAUUACAGAUUGGUAAUCAGUGAACCAAGUAAUACUAACAUUGAAUAUGGAAUGGUAAAUAUAUUUUUUUGUUAUUGCCAUGAAUAAACAAUUUAUUCAUUAUCCUUGGAUUAUGUCUCAAUAUUACAGAAUAUUUUUUUUUUAAUUUAUCAUUUUAUUUUUAAUUUAAUACCAUCAAGCAACAUUGUAUAGGGGAUUGCACGUUCGAGAGCAGAUAUUCUUUUGUAAUCAUUGUGUGUAGAUUUCAUUUCCGGUCACUCCUAGAGAAGGAAAUGUAUAUUGAUUUCGAAGAUUUUUCCUAGGUCAGAUCAAGGUUAAUAGACCAUCACGUAAUCGUACUUGGCAAAAAAUUUCAAUUUGAUGUAUCGUAACGACUUCUGGGCAAGACAACGAGAUUUUGACGUCAUAGAGAAUAGAAAGGGCACCAAAGGGUCUGUCAAGGAGAAAAAAUGUGAAAAUGCUUGUCAUCGAAAGGACCCCUUAGAAACAUACCCUUGAAUUUGUGAGAAUCAUUUUUGGGUGAAAAUGCUUAUAAAGGGAUUUAAAAGGGGAAUUGCUAGGACUACUUCUAAAAAGAAAAUUGAAAGAAGAUGCUAUCCCUUAUAGAAGUAUCAUACUUGGAGAAGAAUUUGAACAAGCUCCAAGGAACAAGAGAAGAAGCAAGAUUGUGGAACAUUUUGAAAUAUGUUUGGGUACAUUUGACAAAUAAUCAUAAACCCAUGUAAAAUUAACUCAAGCACUUAUGAUAGAAAAGGUUAACGCAUCUUAUCAAGCAUUUGUAUCCCGAAUUAUACAAAUAAGUAGGGGUUCUAUUACCAGAAAAGAUCCACUCAUUCUAUAACUUGACUCAAUAUAAUAAAGUAUCUUUCCUCAAAAGCCUACCGUUAGAUUCAGUCCAAUGUUUUACUUCUGGUUCCUAGUGUAACAACUCUCAAACGGUGGAUCCCAAGUUUUAAAACAGCAUGGGAAUACAGUCAAAUAUUAUUUAAGUUAUUGUUCUUCAAAUCAAAUCUAACGAAACUCCAAAUGGAACCCUGGCUGUUUAGUGCUUUGUUGAGAUGAAGACAAAAUAAGAAGCUUUAUGCUCUAUUCUAUACCAAAGAAUUUAUGGUCAUAAGAAAAACAUACAGGUAUACAAGAUCAAUAGUAACCUUGUAGGUAAAUUGCCAAUACUGUACAGCCAUUGAUUAUAUAAAUAAUAUCAGUUACUCAAUGUUAUUUCUUUUUAAUAUCAGAUAUUUAUAAAUUGUGUUGCCCUAUUGGAAUAUUACACUAGCAAACAACUAGGAUCUUCACACAAAUAAAUUAAUUGCAGAUAAUACAAUUCUUUGGAUUAAUAGGAUAUUAUUUAUCCGAAGUCGCAUUUUUGGAUAUGUGACAAAA
rnacentral:lncRNA from 1 species